CAAUGCCAUGAUGUCAACAUCAUCUGUUGACCUCAUCCCCUGGACAAUGAGUACAAUUCACACAACCCCCUCCACCAGCCGCCAGCGGCGAGUUGGCAGAUACCCCUGGCCAGCAAACACAAUUUCAUUUGUUUUCCCUUUAGGGUGGAGGGGUGGGAAGGGGUAGUACCCUGCAAUGGUUUAAAUGAAGCUCUUUUUCUCUUGAUUUUGCUGAACAUAAAGGAUAGAACUACUGUUUCGAGUGGGCCGGCAUUAUUUGUCCACCUCCUUUGGUGGAGACUUCCCCAAGGCAACUGCUCAAUAACACCAC
rnacentral:sRNA from 1 species